rnacentral:rRNA from 1 species
GGAUUGUAGUCUGCAACUCGACUACAUGAAGCUGGAAUCGCUAGUAAUCGCGAAUCAGAAUGUCGCGGUGAAUACGUUCCCGGGUCUUGUACACACCGCCCGUCACACCAUGGGAGUUGGGAAUGCCCGAAGCCGGUGACCUAACCGAAAGGGAGGAGCCGUCGAAGGCAGGUCUGAUAACUGGGGUGAAGUCGUAACAAGGUACC